rnacentral:rRNA from 1 species
AUGCCUUGGCACUAAGAGCCGAUGAAGG